GAUGAACGCUGGCGGCGUGCCUAAUACAUGCAAGUCGAGCGAACGGACGAGAAGCUUGCUUUUCUGAUGUUAGCGGCGGACGGGUGAGUAACACGUGGAUAACCUACCUAUAAGACUGGGAUAACUUCGGGAAACCGGAGCUAAUACCGGAUAAUAUUUUGAACCGCAUGGUUCAAAAGUGAAAGACGGUCUUGCUGUCACUUAUAGAUGGAUCCGCGCUGCAUUAGCUAGUUGGUAAGGUAACGGCUUACCAAGGCAACGAUGCAUAGCCGACCUGAGAGGGUGAUCGGCCACACUGGAACUGAGACACGGUCCAGACUCCUACGGGAGGCAGCAGUAGGGAAUCUUCCGCAAUGGGCGAAAGCCCGACGGAGCAACGCCGCGUGAGUGAUGAAGGUCUUCGGAUCGUAAAACUCUGUUAUUAGGGAAGAACAUAUGUGUAAGUAACUGUGCACAUCUUGACGGUACCUAAUCAGAAAGCCACGGCUAACUACGUG
rnacentral:rRNA from 1 species